UACGGGAGGCAGCAGUGGGGAAUAUUGCACAAUGGGCGCAAGCCUGAUGCAGCCAUGCCGCGUGUAUGAAAAAGGCCUUCGGGUUGUAAAGUACUUUCAGUCGUGAGGAAGGUGUUAAGGUUAAUAACCUUAGCAAUUGACGUUAGCGACAGAAGAAGCACCGGCUAACUCCGUGCCAGCAGCCGCGGUAAUACGGAGGGUGCGAGCGUUAAUCGGAAUUACUGGGCGUAAAGGGCACGCAGGCGGUUAAUUAAGUUGGAUGUGAAAUCCCCGGGCUUAACCUGGGAAUGGCAUUCAAGACUGGUUAGCUAGAGUCUUGUAGAGGGGGUUAGAAGUUCCAUGUGUAGCGGUGAAAUGCGUAGAGAUGUGGAGGAAUACCGGUGGCGAAGGCGGCCCCGUGGACAAAGACUGACGCUCAUGUGCGAAAGCGUGGGGAGCAAACAGGGAUUAGAUAC
rnacentral:rRNA from 1 species